rnacentral:rRNA from 1 species
CGACGCCGCGUGGAGGAUGACGGCCCUCGGGUUGUAAACUCCUUUUGAUAGGGAAGAAGAAUGUGACGGUACCUAUCGAAUAAGCCCCGGCUAACUACGUGC